rnacentral:tRNA from 1 species
GGGGGUUAUUAUUGUAAAAUUGCAUUUCUUUUUUGCAGAAAGAAAGUUUAUGAUCCA